rnacentral:rRNA from 1 species
AAAACCUAAGCAUAACGGGUUCUAUAAUGCAGUCGAGCGAUGGAUUAAGAGCUUGCUCUUAUGAAGUUAGCGGCGGACGGGUGAGUAACACGUGGGUAACCUGCCCAUAAGACUGGGAUAACUCCGGGAAACCGGGGCUAAUACCGGAUAACAUUUUGAACCGCAUGGUUCGAAAUUGAAAGGCGGCUUCGGCUGUCACUUAUGGAUGGACCCGCGUCGCAUUAGCUAGUUGGUGAGGUAACGGCUCACCAAGGCAACGAUGCGUAGCCGACCUGAGAGGGUGAUCGGCCACACUGGGACUGAGACACGGCCCAGACUCCUACGGGAGGCAGCAGUAGGGAAUCUUCCGCAAUGGACGAAAGUCUGACGGAGCAACGCCGCGUGAGUGAUGAAGGCUUUCGGGUCGUAAAACUCUGUUGUUAGGGAAGAACAAGUGCUAGUUGAAUAAGCUGGCACCUUGACGGUACCUAACCAGAAAGCCACGGCUAACUACGUGCCAGCAGCCGCGGUAAUACGUAGGUGGCAAGCGUUAUCCGGAAUUAUUGGGCGUAAAGCGCGCGCAGGUGGUUUCUUAAGUCUGAUGUGAAAGCCCACGGCUCAACCGUGGAGGGUCAUUGGAAACUGGGAGACUUGAGUGCAUAAGAGGAAAGUGGAAUUUCCAUGUGUAGCGGUGAAAUG